AAGAACGUUACCGUAAAGGGAGCCCUGUGGAUAGGGAGGAUCAUCAUUAUGAAAGGAGCUCUCUGGACAGGGAAAAAUACAAUCAGAAAAGAAGCCCUGCUUACAAGGAAGAAACUCUUCACAAAACAGAUGCGGAAGAGUACUCCCACAGAAGUUCUAGGGAUCGGGAAGAAGGCUCUUACAAGCGCCACAGGCAUAAUAGUGGGUCUGAC
rnacentral:misc_RNA from 1 species